GAGGAAAGAGAAAGUUCCCCGAGAUGUGGGGCUGGAAGGAGCAGGGGCAGGAGAUGGGAAGGCAGGGGAUCAGAGGCGGGCAACGGGGAGAAAGGAGGAAAAGUUGGGAGGCACGGAAAGGGAAGGAAAAGGCGAGUUGCAGGGAGGAUACUAUCCAGGAAGAAAGCGGAGGGAGGGGCGAGGCGAGACAGACAGCGAUGGAGGGGGAACCAGAGGGGCAUGGGAGAGUUGGCUGCUCCAGGCAGGGCCUACUCCGAGGGCUCAUCCAACAGAAGCUCUGCUAAAAAUGGCUGCUUUGCUUCCACUGCCCCUUCCCCCUCCCCCAGAGCUCGGCUCCCUUCCCUCCGUGUCCCCGGGCGGCUGCGAGCCCGGGGCCGCCACUCACCAGGCAGAAGAGGUUGGAAUGGCAAUCCUCCAGGCUGGCCCCGUUCGGCACGAAGCAGGAACUCAUCCUCACAGCCACAACCCACACGCCAUUAUCCCACAGCCUCCGACAAGAAAGAAAGAGACAGCCAGGGAGAGAGAGAGAGAGAGAGGGAGAGAGAGGGAGAGAGGGAGAGACAGACAGCGAGAGGGAAAGGGGGAGGGGGGCUCCGCACACGCACAAAUAAUAAUACAAUUAAAUAAGGGAUUUACACGCGCGCGCACGCGAAAUAGUGGCAGGGGGAAUAGGACGAGAGAGGGGGGUAAAAAAAAAUAUAUUUAAAAAAAUUAUUAAAAAAAAAAAUAAUUUUUUUUUUUUAAAGGAAGUCAGAACGUUUUCUCGUCUUCUGGAGCUCCACCGGGGGGGUAAAGCCACGGUGGAAGGGGAGAACAGAAAGAGGGAGGUGAUGCCAAGCAAGAGAAGUAGGAAAACAUAAAUAAUCCAGCGGGGGCAAUCAAUCCAGAACCCCCCCUUCUCUUCCUCCUGUUCCUUUAGUCAUCAGAUGAGAAAGGGGCAAAUUGUGGAAUGACUGGGAAGGAUUGGCCGUGGGAGAGAGAAAAAUCCAGGCUCGUCUCUUCGGAGUCCGAGGGCAACAGGGUGUGGGGGGGUCAGAUUCUUCUCCCCUGCUCCAAAAAUAUUCCAAAUAAAUUAAAAUUUGAAAGCAUAAAAACAAACUUCAGGGGCCAGAAGCAAGGCCAGUCUGAAGAAUUCGUAAAGGCAGAGAGAGAAAAAUUUCCUGGGGUGUACCCCAAAAAAACAUCUGCGGGGGCAGGGGAGGGGGGAAGGUAUUCCUUGAGAGAGAAAGGCCGCAAAAGUCUCCUCAGCAGCCCAGCGGGGGAUUAAAUUCCCGUGUGGAAAACACCCCCCUCUCUAAAACGAAAUAGUCUUCGCAGCGAGGGCGAAACCAAAAUACCCUCCGUCGGGU